rnacentral:lncRNA from 1 species
GUGCGUGGAGUCGCGCGGAGCGUUGCUUGGUGCGGGUGGGUCUGAGCUGGGGCGUUCUGUCCGCAGGACAUCGGGAAGAACAUUUACACCAUCCGGGAGGUGGUCACUGAGAUUCGGGACAAGGCCACACGCAGGCGGCUCGCUGUCCUGCCCUACGAGCUGCGGUUCAAGGAGCCCUUACCGGAAUACGUGCGGCUGGCCUAAACCCCCACAAGAAACAGAAAAAGGACACUCAGCUUGUGAGCCUGAGAACCUGGAAUUUAGUUCCUUCAUGUUCUGGAGAAACCCUUUGCCCAACAUCGAUCAUGAACUGCAGGAGCUGCUGGUGAGGCCUUGACUUUUGGUCUUCUGACGACAGCUCAACUUCUCCUCCACUGCUCCUGUGGGUUGGGAGUUUGAAAGGUCUGUUGAUGUUUCAGAUUGACAGAGGUGAGGACGUUCCAAGUGAGGAGGAGGAGGAGGAAGAAAACGGGUUUGAAGACAGA